rnacentral:rRNA from 1 species
AACGAACGCUGGCGGCAGGCUUAACACAUGCAAGUCGAGCGCCCCGCAAGGGGAGCGGCAGACGGGUGAGUAACGCGUGGGAAUCUACCCAUCUCUACGGAAUAGCGCAUGGAAACGUGUGCUAAUACCGUAUACGUCCUUCGGGAGAAAGAUUUAUCGGAGAUGGAUGAGCCCGCGUUGGAUUAGCUAGUUGGUGGGGUAAAGGCCUACCAAGGCGACGAUCCAUAGCUGGUCUGAGAGGAUGAUCAGCCACGCUGGGACUGAGACACGGCCCAGACUCCGACGGGAGGCAGCAGUGGGGAAUAUUGGACAAUGGGCGCAAGCCUGAUCCAGCCAUGCCGCGUGAGUGAUGAAGGCCCUAGGGUUGUAAAGCUCUUUCACCGGUGAAGAUAAUGACGGUAACCGGAGAAGAAGCCCCGGCUAACUUCGUGCCAGCCGCCGCGGUAAGAC